GGGAAUGUAACUCAGUGGUAGAGUGCUUGCUUAGCACUACAGCCGCCUUGGCUGUUGUGAGAACAAGAAAAGAUUUGCAUGAAGUCGAGGGUUCGAUUCCCUUCAUUUCCA